AAACAUUCUCGGCCUUUUGGCUAAGAUCAAAGUGUAGUAUCUGUUCUUAUCAGCUUAAUAUCUGAUACGUCCUCCAUUGGGGGACAUCGAUAUUAAACUGAUUUUUGAAAGGGGGUGAGGUGCCCGGGGCUUGCUCCGCCCUCACCACGGGUUGACCCGGUAUUGCAGUACUUCCGGGAAUGGCCCACCACUA
rnacentral:snRNA from 1 species